UCAUUGUGCCGCCCCAGAUCUUCCUUUUCUGUUGCCUCAAGUGGUGUUGCCACCCCCUUAGAACACCAUUGUUUUGGGAAAACCAUUUAUCUUCAAUUGCCUCCCCUAUUAUUGUACGGAUUUAAACGUCUCGGAUCAGCAGUGACUACAAAUCUCGUUCGCACUCGUGUUUCAUAUUAGAACAGUGCUCAUCAAAGGCUUAGGAGCGAAAGUGUGGAUUUUACGGUUUAUUGCUGCGGUUUGUGAAAUUAAGGUGUGGGUUCUAACUUACUAAAUUAAUUGUUAAGUGAAUAUUUUUAGUAUUUAAUGUGGUAAUUAAGCUUGUUGUUCGAGCUUGGUUAAAUUACUAAGUAAGUAAUUUAUAGGUGG